rnacentral:rRNA from 1 species
AUUGAACGCUGGCGGCAGGCCUAACACAUGCAAGUCGAGCGGAUGAAGGGAGCUUGCUCCUGGAUUCAGCGGCGGACGGGUGAGUAAUGCCUAGGAAUCUGCCUGGUAGUGGGGGAUAACGUCCGGAAACGGGCGCUAAUACCGCAUACGUCCUGAGGGAGAAAGUGGGGGAUCUUCGGACCUCACGCUAUCAGAUGAGCCUAGGUCGGAUUAGCUAGUUGGUGGGGUAAAGGCCUACCAAGGCGACGAUCCGUAACUGGUCUGAGAGGAUGAUCAGUCACACUGGAACUGAGACACGGUCCAGACUCCUACUGGAGGCAGCAGUGGGGAAGAUUGGACAAUGGGCGAAAGCCUGAUCCAGCCAUGCCGCGUGUGUGAAGAAGGUCUUCGGAUUGUAAAGCACUUUAAGUUGGGAGGAAGGGCAGUAAGUUAAUACCUUGCUGUUUUGACGUUACCAACAGAAUAAGCACCGGCUAACUUCGUG